GUUGAAGAGCUUGAGUUUUUGAUCGAACAUGAUUAUAAAAUUGGGUAUGUCACUAGUGAAUACUUGAGAGUGAUGAGAUAGAUAUAAUUGUUGUGUGUCAUUUGUUUUGAGAUGUAUUAUGUUGGUGUGCAUUUGCAGUUCUAAAAUCCGAGAUCAAAUUAUUCCUAAGGCUGAGAAGCUGGCAAAGGGAAGAGCAAGAGCAAGGUGUGUAUACAGAUUCCAUAAUUUGGCUCAAAUCUUAUUGUCGAUUAUGUUCUUUUGUAUAUUAAUUAUCUUCUAAAUUAUGGGUAACUUCGUGCGGCCUAACAACACAGUUUAUCACAUAAUAAAGCAUGCAGAUGACUAUAGGAGAGCAACACGUGAUAUGGUAGUAGUGGGACAGUAUGACAGAAUUUUGUCUUAUCUUAAAUGGAAACCUCUAGAGGAAAAUUAUGUGAAGCUCAACACUGAUGGGACUUGUAAGGAAGGAGGAGGAAGAGC
rnacentral:lncRNA from 1 species